rnacentral:lncRNA from 1 species
UCCAAAGGGGGUGAAGAGCAGCUGUCAAACUGGGUUGGUUUGGAAGAACAGUCUACUGCACAGACGCACCAGAGCCGAGCUCGCGAGUUGCGGAGUCCUCUUUCAGCAUGAGAAAGUCUGCGAAUUGUUAUUGAUGAUGCAGUGCGGAGAGGGAGAGAUCUACAUGGAAGGGAUAGCACCACUGUGCAGCAAGUAGCCUGAUCAAAAGACCGAGAGAGGAGGAAGAUGGUUGUCUUACCGGACAAAAUGGAGGGGAAACACAGAUAGAACCCCAGCUCAGAGCCAACCCCACUCCCAAGCCUGAGAUUGAACCCUUGCCAUUUCAGUUUGUCAGUGAUGUGUACACCAAAGGUGUAAAGCUUCAAGUUCCUCAGCAUACACAUCACUGACAAACUGAAAUGGUCCAUCCACACAGACAGUGUGGUGAAGAAGGC